rnacentral:rRNA from 1 species
AGUCGACGAUUAAGCACCUUCGGGUGUGUAUAGAGUGGCGAACGGGUGAGUAACACGUGACCAACCUGCCUCUUACAUUGGGACAACCAAAAGAAAUUCUGGCUAAUACCAAAUACUCCGCACAUAUCACAUGAUGUAUGCGGGAAAGCUUUUGCGGUAAGAGAUGGGGUCGCGGCCCAUUAGGUAGACGGCGGGGUAGAAGCCCACCGUGCCGAUGAUGGGUAGCCGGGUUGAGAGACCGACCGGCCACAUUGGGACUGAGAUACGGCCCAGACUCCUACGGGAGGCAGCAGUGGGGAAUAUUGCGCAAUGGGGGAAACCCUGACGCAGCAACGCCGCGUGCGGGAUGAAGGCCUUCGGGUUGUAAACCGCUUUCAGCAGGGAAGACAUCGACGGUACCUGCAGAAGAAGCCCCGGCUAACCACGUGCCAGCAGCCGCGGUAAUACGUAGGGGGCGAGCGUUAUCCGGAUUCAUUGGGCGUAAAGCGCGCGCAGGCGGUUGCUCAAGCGGAACCUCUAAUCUCGGGGCUUAACCUCGAGCCGGGUUCCGAACUGGACGACUCGAGUGCGGUAGAGGCAGAUGGAAUUCCCGGUGUAGCGGUGGAAUGCGCAGAUAUCGGGAAGAACACCAACGGCGAAGGCAGUCUGCUGGGCCGNNNCUGACGCUGAGGCGCGAAAGCUGGGGGAGCGAACAGGAUUAGAUACCCUGGUAGUCCCAGCCGUAAACGAUGAGCGCUGGGUGUGGGAGAUACAUCUUCCGUGCCGAAGCUAACGCAUUAAGCG